UCUACUUGGAUUAAGACACAAGGCAUCAGUAGCAACUACAGGAGAACGGAAUUAUAGAACAAAGACAUUUAGGAAGAUAGGCAAAGAUACUGGAUCAUUUAUAUUCCUGACCCAGCACUUAAAUACUGUAAAGAAGGCGAGAGGGAGAGGCUUGCUCCCACAGUUACUGGUGCGGCAAGGAAUUAUCAGAUUCCAGACAGUGAAAAAGGAAAGUGCUAUGUUCUCACCGGUCCUCCCAGAUCCAGAGCCUCAGGAAUCCACAUUCUGCAAGGUAGCAAGGGCCGUGGGUAAGAAAUCACCCUCCAGAGCCAGAUUGCCUUGGUUCAAAUCUCAGCUCUAUCACAAAUUGUGUGACUUUGGGUAAGUCACUUCAUCUCUUUCUGCCUCAGUUUCCUCAUCUAGAAAAUGGGGAUGAUAUUUGUAUCUUCGUCACAGGAGUGUUAUUGGGAUUGAUUACAUGUAGAGAGCUAAGAGCAGCGCUAGGCACGUAGUUGAUUUCUUUCCAGAGAAACCAGGGAGAUGAAUGAGAAAUGAAGGAAAGCUGUGGUGAUCCUCUCCACCCUCUCGCUUCCUCACCGGCUGGAAGAUGCUCCUGUCCAAAUGGGAAAUUGAAGCCAAAAUAGCACAAUAAAGGAAAGGAAGCACUCCUGGAGCAGAUGGGCUUCCACUUGCAUGCUGAGGAAUGUGCUGACUACUCAAGAAUGGGACUUUGGCAGUCACUUAACACAAUCAUGAAGCAAAGGGAAAUGAUUAAGUCUGUUACUAGGCUUGUCCUGAGUGCCCACUCUGUGUGAGCCAUUGGGCCAUGAGCCGUGGGGAAUGCUGAGAAGAAUGAGACAGCAUGGACCCUGGACCAGCAGCAUCAGCAUCAACUGGGAAAUUAUUAGAAGUGCAGAUUCUCGGGCUCCACACCAGACACCUUGACUCAGAGACCGAAGAAGUAGACCUACUCCUCUGUGGUUUAACACCUCCUCCAGGUGGUGCUGGGCAGCAGCACCUAUGCCAGCCGUGUCCAUGGAGAGGAGAGCAUGCAGUGGCUCCACUGGGUGCCAGCUAAGGACACCACCAAGGCCAAAGUCAGAGUCUCAAGCCACUGAGCCUACGUGAACAAAGUCAAGGCAACUGCAGUGUGGUGUAUGAGUCAGCGGCUUGGCUCUUCCCUUCUGUGUGCGUGUGUGGGGGUGGGGUGCCAAGGAGGUGGAUUCUGGAGGAGUAAGAGACUAAAAAAAAAUUGGAAAUGCGACCACUGAAAGACUAACAUUUGUAGGCCACACUGCUCAUGCCACCCUCCCCGCUGACAGAAGAGCAUUUGAAAUCCUAGCCAGGCCCAACCCUAUCCCACUUCUUAGUCUCUGUGGACUGGCUAAGGGCAGGAAUUUCACAGCUGAGGUGAGCUGGCGGUGUGGGGAAAAAGCAAAAGGGCUCUGGGGUCAGCAUUCAAAUGUGGGCAAGGGGCUCAUCUCCUUGAGCUUCACUUUCCUUGGCUCCAAAAAGAGAAUGGUAGCAUUAAGCUUAACCAUAUGAAAAUGCUAUUUUCUAGGUCAAAAAAAGAUCGACUACUGCUAAGUUCAUAUGGUUCAACCUAAUUGCACUUUCUUCUCAGGGUGAUUGUGCAAAUUAAAUAAGUUAAUAUGCAAAAGUAUAUAUACCAGUACCUGACAUAUAACAAGUGCCCAGUGAAAAAUAGUGCUGCUGCUGCUGCUGACAAUGGGUAUGCAACAUCUAACUGGCUGCAGAGGACCAUUGAUCCUAGCUUGACUUGCAAAUACAAGCCCUUGACAGGCUGAAAUAUGUCAGUGGUAUACUCUGGAAUUUAAAUGGACCCAUGACCAAAUAUUCCUUCUUUCUGGGAUGUCCAGGAGUGAAGGAUUUUGCUUAUAGGUCAUUCUUUAUGGUAAAAUCACUCUCCACUGAAUGCUCCUAUUAAAAAGGGAGAACAGUUUCAUUGACUGGCUGAUUGAUUGAUUGAUUAAUUGAUUCAUUCAUUUAUUCAGAAGCUUCUCUCAAGAGCCUUAGAUAUUGCCAGGCACUGUACUAGAUGUUAGGAUGAAGAAGGUAUGAUCCCUACCCUGGAGGAAUUUGCAAUUUAAUGUUGGAGAAAACCCCCAGACAGGUACCAGCAAUUAGGUUUUGACAACUGACAUAGCUAUAUAAGUAAGGUGUGUCUCAGACUUGUGAGUUCACUGGGAAGAGAUCGUCCUUCCUCCAGCCAUCCCAAUUGUGUUUGGUGGUCAGGCAAGGUUGCAUACAAAAAGUAACAUUUCAGAUGACUUUGAGUAAUAUGUAGGAAUUCCUUGCAUGGAGACAGUGCAUGCUCAAGCAAGGGAAACCUAAUAUGUAGAAGUGCAGUAUUGCAAAGAGGUGCAGGCAUUUUUAGAAAUUGAGUCACAGUUCAGUGUGGAGAAUGGGUGAGGAAGGGUGCGUCAGGGGCUGAGGCUCAAGCAGGUCAGGGCUGGGCUGGAUAUAUAUCAUAGAUGUGAUUCUGUAGGCAAUUGAGAACCAGCAACAAAGGUUUUCUAGAGUGUCCAGGUAGAAGGAAAUCUUUUUAUUUGGAGUGGGGCUGGGAAUUGUUCUUUACUUCAUUGAACAAGUAUAAUUUAUAUGCAAUAAACACGCCCACUAUAAGUGCAUAGUUCAAUGAAUUUUGAUAAAUGUGUAUACUCAUGUGCUAUGGUUUGACUAUGGGUUAUGUGUAUGCCCCUAAAGGUUGAUGUGUUGGAAGCCUGGGCCUCAGUGUGGCUGUGGUGGAGGGCCUAGUGGGAGGUCUGUGGGUCAAUUAAGGACAUGCCCUUGAAAGUGAUUAAGGUAGUUCUCAUGGGCUCGCUUGGGAGUUCUCCAUAGAGGGUUGUAAUGAAAGCCUGAGUCAGGCCCCACUAAGAUUCCUCCAGCUUCCUGUGUGGCAGUGUAAUCACUUGCCACCUGAGCUCCUGCCAUUAGCAUUCCCCACAAUGUGAUGCAGUUGAGAGGGCCCUCAUUGCAGCCGAACUAAUGUCAGUGCCACCCCCUCAAAACUU